rnacentral:rRNA from 1 species
GACGAACGCUGGCGGCGUGCCUAAUACAUGCAAGUCGAACGCAGUGGGGACGGGUGAGUAACACGUGGGUAACCUCCCAUCAGAGGGGAUAACACUUGGAAACAGGUGCUAAACCGAUACUGAUGGAUGGACCCUCGGUGCAUUAGCUAGUUGGUGAGGUAACGGCUCACCAAGGCCACGAUGCAUAGCGGACCGUAGGGGGUGAUGGGCCAAACGGGGACGGGGACACGGCCCAGACUCCAACGGGGGGCAGCAGUGGGAAAUCUUCGGCAAUGGACGAAAGUCUGCCGGGGAAACGCCGGGUGGGUGAAAAGGGUUUUCGGAUCGUAAAACUCUGUUGUUAGGGAAGCGGUAUCUAACCAGAAAGCCACGGCUAACUACGUGCCAGCAGCCGCGGUAAUUC